rnacentral:lncRNA from 1 species
UGAGCAAUGACGGCAUUGCUAGUAUUCACAUGUGAAUCCUCUGAAGAGCAAUGUUGCUUUGCAAGUAUGGUCUCUAAUUUAGGGACCAGUCAUGAAAUUUUUUUAGUAUUUAUAUUUUAGUUAUAGGUAGACACAAUAUUUUUAUGUGGUGCUGAGGAUCAAAUCCAUUGUCUCACACAUAUGAGGCAAGUGCUCUACCUCUAAGCCACAACCCCAGCCCCAGUCAUGAAAUUUUAUUUAUCCAUAUUUCUUAAAACUUUGCUAACAGAUUCAACCUGCUUUUGAUGUGGAUAUUCAGGAAGAGACUGCAAGGUUUGGCUUGUAAGAAAGUGGUUCUCUGUGAACUGGAAAGUUGGUCAAGGUAGUAUCACAGUCCAUUCUGCAAGCAACAGUCAAUGCAAAUCUGCUAUUAUCCUGCUAAAAUCUGCUAUCAGACAUAGUCUCCCAUACAUAACCACUAAAAACUCUGGGGAAUGUAUUAAAAAGGACUGCUAGAAGAUAGUGGAGAAGAACAAAACCAAGUAGUUUCUGGAGGGAAAUUGCCCCUUAGAACAGAGUCACUAGGCAAAUUUCCUAUCUUUUAUAGCUUUAUCCUUUGGUCAACCUCAGUCCAUCCCAAGUAAGGCAGCUAAUCCUGGAGAGAGACUGGUGGUUGAGCAACCAGAAGUAGAUUGAGGCAACUUAAUAAAAAUCACCUUAAUCCCCAAUCAUGAAAUUCAUAUGGAAAAAUAAAAGACCCAGAAUAGCAAAAGCAAUUCUAAGCAGGAAGUGUGAAUCAGGAGGUAUAGCGAUACCAGAUUUCAAACUGUACUACAGAGCAAUAGUAACAAAAACAGCAUGGUACUGGUACCAAAACAGGCAGGUGGACCAAUGGUACAGAACAGAGGACACAGAAACCAAUCCACAAAAUUACAACUAUCUUAUAUUCGAUAAAGGGGCUAAAAGCAUGCAAUGGAGGAAGGAUAGCAUCUUCAACAAAUGGUGCUGGGAAAACUGGAAAUCCAUAUGCAACAAAAUGAAACUGAAUCCCUUUCUCUCACCAUGCACAAAAGUUAACUUGAUAUCAAAUCAGAGACUCUGCGUCUGAUAGAAGAAAAAGUUGGCUCCGAUCUACAUAUUGUGGGGUCGGGCUCCNAACUUAGAUGCCCUUCAAUAGAUGAAUGGAUUAAAAAAAUGUGGCAUUUAUACACAAUGGAGUAUUACUCAGCACUAAAAAAUAUGACAAAAUCAUGGAAUUUGCAGGGAAAUGGAUGGCAUUAGAGCAGAUUAUGCUAAGUGAAGCUAGCCAAUCCCUAAAAAACAAAUGCCAAAUGUCUUCUUUGAUAUAAGGAGAGCAACUAAAAACAGAGCAGGGAGGAAGAGCAUGAGAAAAAGAUUAACAUUAAACAGGGAUGAGAGGUGGGAGGGAAAGGGAGAGAGAAGGGAAAUUGCAUGGAAAUGGAAGGAGACCCUCAUUGUUAUACAAAAUUACAUAUAAGAGGAUGUGAGGGGAAAGGGAAAAAAAAACAAAACAAGGGAGAGAAAUGAAUUACAGUAGAUGGGGUAGAGAGAGAAGAUGGGAGGGGAAGGGGGAUAGUAGAGGAUAGGAAAGAUAGCAGAAUACAACAGUCACUAGUAUGGCAAUAUGUAAAAACGUGGAUGUGUAACUGAUGUGAUUUUUACCCCUGUAUACGGGGUAAAAAUGGGAGUUCAUAACCCACUUGAAUCAAAUGUAUGAAAUAUGAUAUGUCAAGAGCUUUGUAAUGUUUUGAACAACCAAUAAAAAAAAAAAUCACCUUAAUCCCACUAGCACUCAAUGCCAAUCAUCUCAAACAAGGAAACAAAUCUAUCUAUGCUCUCACAUGUACAAGGAUGGUAAUGUAUACCUGAUAGUAAGGAUAAAGGACAUCUUUGUGAAAUGACCAAUCACAGGGUGCAGCAUAUGGCAGGCACACAAUGAAUGUGUCCUUCCUUUCUUUUCAAGAAACAAUAGUACCACUUUCAGAGUUCAGAUUUCACAUCCCCAAAUUCCUCUGUUGGCCCUUCUCUGAGAUUUGUAUUGUCUAAUAAAACUUAUAACAAGGAUGUCUGUCUCUGGAUGAUGGUUCCACAACUGCU